rnacentral:tRNA from 1 species
GGCGUGGUAGUGCAAUAGGUUAGUAUGCCGGGCUCAUGCCCCGGAGGUGGAUAAAGUAAUUUUCCCUGCGCCU